rnacentral:rRNA from 1 species
GACGAACGCUGGCGGCGUGCCUAAUACAUGCAAGUCGAGCGGAACUGGGGGAGCUUGCUCCUUCCAGUUUAGCGGCGGACGGGUGAGUAACACGUGGGCAACCUGCCCUGCAGAUCGGGAUAACUCCGGGAAACCGGUGCUAAUACCGAAUAGUUUGGCGCCUCUCCUGAGGCGCUACGGAAAGACGGUUUCGGCUGUCUCUGCAGGAUGGGCCCGCGGCGCAUUAGCUAGUUGGUGGGGUAACGGCCCACCAAGGCGACGAUGCGUAGCCGACCUGAGAGGGUGACCGGCCACACUGGGACUGAGACACGGCCCAGACGCCUACGGGAGGCAGCAGUAGGGAAUCUUCCGCAAUGGACGCAAGUCUGACGGAGCAACGCCGCGUGAGUGACGAAGGUUUUCGGAUCGUAAAACUCUGUUGUGAGGGAAGAACACGUACCAACUAACUAUUGGUACCUUGACGGUACCUCACCAGAAAGCCACGGCUAACUACGUGCCAGCCGCCGCAGUAA